rnacentral:rRNA from 1 species
CCCUAUUAUUUAAGAGCUGAAUAUUGUUAGUAUAUAAAGAUUAUGAAAGCAAAAAGUUAUGGCGGUAUUUUAAGCUUUUCAGAGGAAUUUGCUCUUUAAUGGAUAAAACACCAAAAUCUUACUUAAAUUUGUCAAAUCAACUUGUAUACCACUAUUAAAACAAUUAUUAACUCUAAUUGUUAAUAUUUAAAAUUUUAUAAUUAAUUAAAAUUAAGUCAAGGUGCAGUAAAAAUUUAAGAAUGAAGUGAAUUACAUUACUUUAAAGGGAAAUAAAAUUAAAUAAAAAUUAGGAUUUGAAAGUAAAAUUAAAAUAGAAUGUUAAUUUGAAUUAAGCUCUAAAAUAUGUACAUAUCGCCCGUCACUCUUUUUUAA